UACCCCUACGGGGGGCAGCAGUAGGGAAUCUUCCACAAUGGACGAAAGUCUGAUGGAGCAACGCCGCGUGAGUGAAGAAGGGUUUCGGCUCGUAAAGCUCUGUUGGUAGUGAAGAAAGAUAGAGGUAGUAACUGGCCUUUAUUUGACGGUAAUUACUUAGAAAGUCACGGCUAACUACUUGCCAGCAGCCGCGGUAAUACGUAGGUGGCAAACGUUGUUCGGAUUUAUUGGG
rnacentral:rRNA from 1 species